rnacentral:rRNA from 1 species
CAUAGCGGAGGAAAGAAACCAACAGGGAUUGCCCUAGUAACGGCGAGUGAAGCGGCAACAGCUCAAAUUUGAAAUCUGGCUCCGCUCUGGGGUCCGAGUUGUACUUUGCAGAGGGCGCUUUGGCGUCGGCAGCGGUCUAAGUUCCUUGGAAUAGGACGUCACAGAGGGUGAGAAUCCCGUACGUGGCUGCUUGCCUUCGCCGUGUAAAGCCCCUUCGACGAGUCGUGUUGUUUGGGAAUGCAGCACUAAAUGGGAGGUAAAUUUCUUCUAAAGCUAAAUACCGGCCAGAGACCGAUAGCGCACAAGUAGAGUGAUCGAAAGAUGAAAAGCACUUUGGAAAGAGAGUCAAAAAGCACGUGAAAUUGUUGAAAGGGAAGCGCUUGCAGCCAGACUUGCUUGCGGUUGCUCAUCCGGGCCUGUGCCCGGUGUACUCUUCCGCAGGCAGGCCAGCAUCAGUUUGGGCGACUGGAGAAAGGCCUCUGUCACGUACCUUCCCUCGGGAAGGCCUUAUAGGGGAGGCGUAAUGCAGCCAGUCCAGACUGAGGUCCGCGCAUCUGCUAGGAUGCUGGCGUAAUGGCUGUAAGCGGCCCGUCUUGAAACACGGACCAAGGAGUCUAACAUCUAUGCGAGUGUUUGGGUGUCAAGCCCGAGCGCGUAAUGAAAGUGAACGGAGGUGAGAACCCUCGGGUGCAUCAUCGACCGAUCCUGAUGUCUUCGGAUGGAUUUGAGUAAGAGCAUAGCUGUUGGGACCCGAAAGAUGGUGAACUAUGCUUGAAUAGGGUGAAGCCAGAGGAAACUCUGGUGGAAGCUCGCAGCGGUUCUGACGUGCAAAUCGAUCGUCAAAUUUGGGCAUAGGGGCGAAAGACUAAUCGAACUAUCUAGUAGCUGGU